ACCUGCGGAAGGAUCAUUAAAUAAUCAAUAAUCUUGGCUUGUCCAUUAUUAUCUAUUUACUGUGAACUGUAUUAUUAUUUGACGUUUGAGGGAUGUUCCAAUGUUAUAAGGAUAGACAUUGGAGAUGUUAACCGAGUCAUAAUCAGGUUUAGGCCUGGUAUCCUAUUAUUAUUUACCAAAUGAAUUCAGAAUUAAUAUUGUAACAUAGACCUAAAAAAUCUAUAAAACAACUUUUAACAACGGAUCUCUUGGUUCUCGCAUCGAUGAAGAACGUAGCAAAGUGCGAUAACUAGUGUGAAUUGCAUAUUCAGUGAAUCAUCGAGUCUUUGAACGCAACUUGCGCUCAUUGGUAUUCCAAUGAGCACGCCUGUUUCAGUAUCAAAACAAACCCUCUAUCCAACUUUUGUUGUAUAGGAUUAUUGGGGGCCUCUCGAUCUGUAUAGAUCUUGAAACCCUUGAAAUUUACUAAGGCCUGAACUUGUUUAAUGCCUGAACUUUUUUUUAAUAUAAAGGAAAGCUCUUGUAAUUGACUUUGAUGGGGCCUCCCAAAUAAAUCUUUUUUAAAUUGAUCUGAAAU
rnacentral:rRNA from 1 species